rnacentral:rRNA from 1 species
ACGGAGGAUGCGAGCGUUAUCCGGAUUUAUUGGGUUUAAAGGGUGCGUAGGCUGUUAAUUAAGUCAGUGGUAAAAGACAUGGGCUAAACCUAUGUUCCGCCAUUGAUACUGAUUAGCUGGAAUACGGUUGCUGUGGGAGGAAUGUGUAGUGUAGCGGUGAAAUGCAUAGAUAUUACACAGAACACCGAUUGCGAAGGCAUCUCACAAAGCCGUUAUUGACGCUGAUGCACGAAAGUGUGGGGAUCAAACAG